GAUGAACGCUAGCGGCAGGCUUAACACAUGCAAGUCGAGGGGUAUAGUUCUUCGGAGCUAGAGACCGGCGCACGGGUGCGUAACGCGUAUGCAAUCUACCUUUUACAGAGGGAUAGCCCAGAGAAAUUUGGAUUAAUACCUCAUAGUAUGUGAGAAUCGCAUGGUUUUCACAUUAAAGUUCCAACGGUAAAAGAUGAGCAUGCGUCCCAUUAGCUAGAUGGUAAGGUAACGGCUUACCAUGGCGACGAUGGGUAGGGGUCCUGAGAGGGAGAUCCCCCANACUGGUACUGAGACACGGACCAGACUCCUACGGGAGGCAGCAGUGAGGAAUAUUGGACAAUGGGCGCAAGCCUGAUCCAGCCAUGCCGCGUGCAGGAUGACGGUCCUAUGGAUUGUAAACUGCUUUUGACAGGAAGAAACACUCCCUCGUGAGGGAGCUUGACGGUACUGUAAGAUAAGGAUCGGCUAACUCCGUGCCAGCA
rnacentral:rRNA from 1 species